CCUACGGGUGGCUGCAGUGGGGAAUAUUGCACAAUGGGCGCAAGCCUGAUGCAGCCAUGCCGCGUGUGUGAAGAAGGCCUUCGGGUCGUAAAGCACUUUCAGCGGGGAGGAAGGCGGUGAGGUUAAUAACCUUAUCGAUUGACGUUACCCGCAGAAGAAGCACCGGCUAACUCCGUGCCAGCAGCCGCGGUAAUACGGAGGGUGCAAGCGUUAAUCGGAAUUACUGGGCGUAAAGCGCACGCAGGCGGUCUGUCAAGUCGGAUGUGAAAUCCCCGGGCUCAACCUGGGAACUGCAUUCGAAACUGGCAGGCUAGAGUCUUGUAGAGGGGGGUAGAAUUCCAGGUGUAGCGGUGAAAUGCGUAGAGAUCUGGAGGAAUACCGGUGGCGAAGGCGGCCCCCUGGACAAAGACUGACGCUCAGGUGCGAAAGCGUGGGGAGCAAACAGGAUUAGAUACCCUUGUAGUC
rnacentral:rRNA from 1 species